AUUGAACGCUGGCGGCAGGCUUAACACAUGCAAGUCGAGCGGGCGAGGUUGCUUCGGUAACUGAGCUAGCGGCGGACGGGUGAGUAAUGCUUAGGAAUCUGCCUAUUAGUGGGGGACAACAUUCCGACAGGAAUGCUAAUACCGCAUACGCCCUACGGGGGAAAGCAGGGGAUCUUCGGACCUUGCGCUAAUAGAUGAGCCUAAGUCAGAUUAGCUAGUUGGUGGGGUAAAGGCCUACCAAGGCGACGAUCUGUAGCGGGUCUGAGAGGAUGUGCCGCCACACUGGGACUGAGACACGGCCCAGACUCCUACGGGAGGCAGCAGUGGGGAAUAUUGGACAAUGGGCGAAAGCCUGAUCCAGCCAUGCCGCGUGUGUGAAGAAGGUCUUCGGAUUGUAAAGCACUUUAAGUCGGGAGGAAGGGCUGUAGGUUAAUACCUUGCAGCCUUGACGUUACCGACAGAAUAAGCACCGGCUAACUUCGUGCCAGCCGCCGCCGUAAAAC
rnacentral:rRNA from 1 species